AUGAUGCCUGAUACAGAUGGAACAGAAGAACUCCCUCCAGGGGAGGACAAUGGGUUACAUCUCCCUCCAAGUACCAGUACAACAGCUCCGGAUUGCAGUGAACCAUCAUUGUUGUUGGGGUUCCAGGGUCACUCUACAAGCCAAUCUACAAGCUACAGCAUGGAGCAGAGCAGCAAGGGAUGUGGAUUGGUCCUGCAUCCGAAAUAACAAAUAAGGCGUCUACUUUCAAGGCCGCAGUGCGUGCUUGGAGCUGUCAGACACCGCAGAGCUGCUGAGAUGGCUUCUUUGUGUGGAGAAACAACGGGGUCCGCUACUCUACAAAG
rnacentral:lncRNA from 1 species